CUCUCUUCUUGCCUGGGCAGGCUGAGACAUGGCACCUCUAUCUUAUCAGCCAGAGGAAUAUUGUGGUUGGCUCUCUACCAGCCAUAGACCUGAAUGGGGUGCUCUGUGAUUCAUCAGAAAAGCAGGCUGCCUAGUUGUACUCAUAAGGUAAACAAACUUGUGUGUAAGCAAUGGACAGCAGGCCGAACGUUGGGAGGGCUACUGGCCAUUGAGAGGUAGAUAAUCCCACCACAGCCUUGUGAACCACCAGUUUUAAGGAUAAGUCUCAAAAUCUCUGUUGACUGCCUCAGUCCCUUCAUCCUUAGAAUAGAAGAGCCAAGGAAACUUGCCUAAAAUCAGAAAUGAACACAAGAUUGGCCAUGAGGACCCAUAAAGCCUUAUUAUGGAACUAGUUCUUGGCUGUAGAAACAGAAUGAUAGGACAAUCAUUCUGGAUAAGUACUCAGGGUCGCUAGCAUUGGGGAAGGGGAAGGCAAGAUGAAUUGAAAAGCUAUUGGACACUAUUGCUCUUCUUUUAGGCACUGAGUAGAUCUGAUUAAUAAAACCUGGUCCUAAGGAAAUCUCUACCUUGGCUGUGGUUUGACCAAUGACUUUUAAGAUCCUAUCUGAGUUCCAGAAACCCAAAGUUCAAUGCGGCCCAAAGCACUCAGCCUUCUCCACCCUUCACAGGCAGAAACACAGCCCAAGACCCUCACUUUUCAUGCAAGCAGCACAUAUUAAUUAAGGAGCUGGUGCGCACCAAGUCUUAUUCUAGACCAGUGGAUGUCGAAUCCAGAGGAACAGCACCAGCAUCACCCAGAAACUUGUGAGAAACGCAGUCUCUCAGGCCCGCCCAUGGCCUGCUGGGCCAGACGCCCUAGGAGUGAGGCCCAGUGUCCGUGUCCUAACAAGCCCUCCAGGUGACACUGGAGCAACCGUACAAAUGCAGAACGACUAUUCUUGGCAUGGGACGCAGACAUGUGAACAGCUCUCCUGGGCAUGGUUUCGGCGGCUUUGUUCCUGUAUGUUCCUAACUGCAGCCUUCAGUGGAGUUUUGAUACUAGAAGAUAAUGCUCCUUGGCAUUGCCUCCACCUAGAAACUCAGGGUAGAGCUGAAGAACUCUUCUGUCAGGGCUAUCAAAACCUUGUGACUAGUUUUGUUUCGGGUUUUGUUUCCUCCCUCCCUAUUCCUUGCCUCUUUCCUUCCUUAUUUUAUAUCAAAAAUUUUAAAUCUGGUGAGAUGUCUCUAUCCUCAGGCACUCAUCUAAAUUUGUCUCACACACCUGGUUUCUUUUAUGGAAAGGAAACAAUAAAGGAAUAAGGUUGCUUUAUAAACAUUCAUUAAAAGAAAACACAUAUCAUAGUGAAGGAGUCUUUAUAGAUACCAGCUUUCUAAAUUCCCACAACAAGCUAUGCUGUCUGACUAUUCCCCUUUGCAGGGAUAAAGCAACCUGUCCAGCAUCCAGUUGGUAAAUGGCAGUGGAACUGGAGUUAAUAUAUUUCCCAGAAUAUAUUUCUGCUUCCUAACCCCAUGCAUGCCCACUAGGUAACACGUUGUGAUUUGCCAUAGUCUCCCCUUUUGCUUGGCUUAUUUUCACCUGUGCCCAAGGAAAACUGGGUCUGGAUUCUACUCCAAGGCGGAGUGGGUAUAUUGCUGGUCCCCCUCUCUUCACCCUCUUGGGUGAUGCCUCCUGUUCCAUCUCUUCAGAGUCAUCAAUCAAAUAUGCUGCCAGAGGAGGCUCUGCAGGUGGGCCCUAACUAACACAUCCAUGGCGCGGAAAGAAGCUCCAGUGGUGGAGUUUCCAGUGCUACUCAGGCAGGGCCUUGAGGGCUCCAGGCCACCCUUCUUAGAACUGGAUGGAUCUGGUAGACCAGCAGGACCCUAUUGCCUGAGCUUCCACCUGUCACUGGGACCUGAUUUCCACCCCAAGUGAGGUCAGCGGUAUGUGUUUCAGACUUCUCUUUUGGGAAAUUUCAACAGCACUUAUUCUAGCAAUUGAGCUAGCUAUUGCCCUUUUUCGAACCUUUUAAAGUUAAGAUUUGACAAAAAAGAAAUUUCUCUCCCAAUAGAUGAGUGGUAUAUAAAUGUCAAGUGGGAGAUUCUUCAUGUACUGAACUUGAUUCUCAUUGAAAAAUAGAGUUUAUCUAGGUGGAGCACAGAGAGGGUUUGAGGGCAGUGAGAGGCUACUCUGUAUGAUACUAUGUUGGGGGCUACGUGUCAUUGUACGUUUGUCCAAACCCAUAGAGUGUACCACACCCAGAGCGAACCCUAGUGGAAGCUGUGGGUGAGGAUGACGCAUUCAUGUAGGUUCACCAAUUUUAACAAAUGUCCCACUCUGGUGAGGGAUGUGGAUAGUGGGGGAGGCUGUGCGUGUGGGGCAGGGAGCAUAUGGGCAAUCUCUGUAUUUUCUGCCCAAUUUUGCUGUGAACCUAAAACUGCUCUAAACAUAAAGUCUAUUUCUUUUUUUGAAAAAAUAGAGUUUAUACUUAGAGAAUGGAAAAAUGGUUUUUAAGACAAAUGUUUUCCCCUUCAGUCUGUGUAGCACCCCGUAGCCUGCUGUUGGGGAUUAUUAGAGGAACUUGGAGAUCAGUCAGAUAUUUUUAAAAACAUAUCUGCUUUAAUGGAUAAAGGACAUUAAAUAGAUAAGGAGAAAGGGCCUGUCAGACUGACCCGUCUCCCUCUGCACAUGGCCGCUGAGCUAAGUCUGGGAAAGCUUUAGAAAAGCAGAAAACAAAAACACACACCCAGGCCGCCCUCAACUUUGCAGUAAGAAAAAACCUGGUCAGCAAUUCCUUAUUCAAGACGUUGGUGACCUGUCAGAAAGAAAGUAAUGACAGAGGACAUGCCAGAAGGAUGGUAGAUAAUAAAGGGCUUGUUUCAUUCUACUUCA
rnacentral:lncRNA from 1 species